AAAGAAAUAUAAGGGAAAAGACAAAGAAGAUGGAUGACCAGAUAAGUUAGAUAGCCGUCCGCCGACCUACAACAUACGCAUCAAAGCAAAGCCUCACAAGUCCCUUCUUCCCAAAUCCAUAACUAUUCGGACAUGUUAGUUUCAACUAUGGUUUAAUUCGGUCUGCUUUCCGUGUGACCAGGAGUCGUAAGUCGAAACUGCAGUGUGUGUGUUUUUACAUGAAACUUAAACUUGGUUAUUGUCCAACGUGAGAAACUAGAAAUAUACUAUCACCUUAUAGUCACACCACGAUUUGAAUUUGAUAUCUAAUCUGUUUACAUUAAAAAUAUUUAUGAGGGGGAUGGUGAUGUAUGCAACUAAAGCAUGGAUUGAUAUGAAGAGGGAGUAGCUCAGAUAUUGACGUAACGAUGUUUCGUUUCUUCUGAUGGAGAAUCAAAGCCCAUUCCUCAA
rnacentral:lncRNA from 1 species